rnacentral:lncRNA from 1 species
CCGAGGGGACACUUGGUUUGAAGGGAGUCUAUUUACCUGUGCCAAGAUCGGUGGCUCCCUGCCUCUCCUGUGCUACUGCACCUUGCUCGCAGAGCUAAACCGCUGCUCCUGCCCUGCAGCGUUUUUAUGGCUGGACCCAUCUAAGGGGACUGCAUUCCCUUUUGUCUUUCUCUCUAAGAGAAGGGUGGCAGACUUGAACAAUAAUGGCCCCAUUUGACUUCUGCGAUCAGUGCCACCAUGGAUCUGGUUUGCAAGUCAG